GACGUAGGGGGCCAGCGUUGUUCGGAAUUACUGGGCGUAAAGGGCGCGUAGGCGGCCAUCUAAGUCAGACGUGAAAUCCCUCGGCUCAACCGAGGAACUGCGUCUGAUACUGGAAGGCUUGAAUCCGGGAGAGGGAUGUGGAAUUCCAGGUGUAGCGGUGAAAUGCGUAGAUAUCUGGAGGAACACCGGUGGCGAAGGCGGCAUCCUGGACCGGUAUUGACGCUGAGGCGCGAAAGCUAGGGGAGCAAACGGG
rnacentral:rRNA from 1 species